ensembl:lncRNA
AUCGGUCAUUGUUAUCUGUGGAGAAACAUGGGAAACGAGAACUCCAAGAACAAAGAACUGCAGAACAGGAACGGCAGGAUUCCUGAGAAGCAUAUAAAUGGAUCAGCGAACGGCCUCUCUGCGAACCUCUCAUCUAACGGCUUGGAGAUUUCUGCUAACGGUGAGGCCGCAGUCCAGAAGAAUGGAGAGUCCUCUUCUUUAAAGCGUGCGACUGAACCAAAUGAUUUUGUCGUUGUGGAAUUAGACGGUAAAGCUGCUGACGCUCCAGUUAUUUCUGAAAUCCUUGAAAUCGUCAUCCACAAGGAAGAGGUCAGGGAAAGUGAAGGAGAUCAAACGGAUGUUAGUCUCCCUGCCACCAAUCUACAGACGGAGACAGCUAAGCAAAAGCAAGGGUCAGAAUCAUUGACGGAGCCAGAGAGUGUGACUCUAGACUCUGACGAGGGAAACCAGGAGGACAAUAACCCAGAAGAGAAUCCAGUUAUGAACUUCUUCAAAUCACUAACGACUUCCAAAAUAACCAAAAAGGAAACAGCUGCUCCUGUUGCCAUAAAAGACCAGUCCCAGAAGGAGAACCAACCAGCAGCAACCACUACCGUCGCACAAGUAUCUGAGCCGCCUGCAGCGCCCAAAGGAAUGUCUAUCCCACCGCCACCUCCUCCAGAGCCACCGAAAAUGGAUAUCAAGGCAGAACCAGCUGCUAAACCUGUCAAGGCCACACCAAGAGAAGAAGCAAAAGCUGUUGCCAAGCAACCCCAGUCCUCCAAAGGAAAAUCAGCAACUCUAAGCAAAUUUUUCCGUUCAAAGACAAACAAGGAGUCCCCACCAAAGCCAGACAUUGAAGUAGACGUACAACAAGUUGUAGAAGUAGAGGAGACACCAGUGGAAGCUCCUGAGCCAGUUGUUGUAGAAGUCAAGAGUGAAAAUAAUGUUGACCCCCAUGACUCAGCAGAGCAGGUGGCCCAGCCUGUUGUACAGAAGGUGGAUUCUUCAAAAGCUGGCACUUUGGAGGCUGCAGCGAAACCAGAACCGCCGCCGCCUGUGCAGGAAGCAAAGAAAACUGCCUCAACAUCCUCCUUCUUUUCUCUCUUCAAGCCUAAAGCCGCUGAUCCCAAAAAAGGCGAGUCCUGCCCCGGCUGCAGCCCCAGAGACAGUGAAAGCCAAGGAGGAACCCAAAGCAGCAGCCAAGUCAUCCGAGGCCGUGGUAGAUAA